rnacentral:rRNA from 1 species
GACGAACGCUGGCGGCGUGCUUAACACAUGCAAGUCGAACGAUGAUCAGGAGCUUGCUCCUGUGAUUAGUGGCGAACGGGUGAGUAACACGUGAGUAACCUGCCCCUGACUCUGGGAUAAGCGUUGGAAACGACGUCUAAUACUGGAUAUGAUCACUGGCCGCAUGGUCUGGUGGUGGAAAGAUUUUUUGGUUGGGGAUGGACCCGCGGCCUAUCAGCUUGUUGGUGAGGUAAUGGCUCACCAAGGCGACGACGGGUAGCCGGCCUGAGAGGGUGACCGGCCACACUGGGACUGAGACACGGCCCAGACUCCUACGGGAGGCAGCAGUGGGGAAUAUUGCACAAUGGGCGAAAGCCUGAUGCAGCAACGCCGCGUGAGGGAUGACGGCCUUCGGGUUGUAAACCUCUUUUAGUAGGGAAGAAGCGAAAGUGACGGUACCUGCAGAAAAAGCACCGGCUAACUACGUA